rnacentral:lncRNA from 1 species
UUCUGGAGGCUGGGAAGUCCAAGAUCAAGCUGCCAACAGAUUUGGUGUCUGGUGAGGCUGCACACUCCAGAGGGGCAGAACGCUGUGACCUCACAUGGCAGAACUGAAGAGCAACCUAAGGACAAGGUGUGUAUGAUAAAGCAGUGGGAACCAGGCAAAGAAGAUCAUUAAAGCCCUUACCAGCCAAGGUAUGAAGUUUCCAUUUUAUUUUAUACAAAUGUCUAUUACAGAGUUAAGGAUUCCAGGUCAUUCCAUCUUCAUAUCACCUCUGAUACCUAACAUCAUGCCUGGAACACAGUAGGCCUCCUCUUUACACUUUCUAAACUGAUUUAAAAUAGUUUUUGUCAUCUCUAAGUGAUAAAAUCUGGGGAAAUAGAGUUAAAACUAAAGUUAAAUCUAAUACAUUUGCAAACAAAUUUCUUAUUUCCAUGUGUUUGCUUUCAUUAUUUUAAUACCCAA